GAUGAACGCUGGCGGCGUGCUUAACACAUGCAAGUCGAACGGAAAGGCCCAAGCUUGCUUGGGUACUCGAGUGGCGAACGGGUGAGUAACACGUGGGUGAUCUGCCCUGCACUUCGGGAUAAGCCUGGGAAACUGGGUCUAAUACCGGAUAGGACCACUUCUUGGAUGUGGUGGUGGAAAGUUUUUUCGGUGUGGGAUGAGCUCGCGGCCUAUCCGCGUGUUGGUGGGGUAAUGGCAUACCAAGGCGUGGACGGGUAGCCGGCCUGUGAGGGUGUACGGCCACCUUGGGACUGAGAUACGGCCCAGACUCCUACGGGAGGCAGCUGUGGGGAAUAUUGCACAAUGGGCGCCAGCCUGAUGCAGCGACGCCGCGUGGGGGAUGACGGCCUUCGGGUUGUAAACUCCUUUCGCUAGGGACGAAGCGUUUUGUGACGGUACCUGGAGAAGAAGCACCGGCUAACUACGUG
rnacentral:rRNA from 1 species